rnacentral:lncRNA from 1 species
CCAUGUGGCAGACACACGAAUAGGAUAAAGGUAACACUACAUGUAUUAAAGGCGAUCAGACAACUAGAGGGAAUUCUCGUUUGAUCGCACAGUCAAAAAUACCUUUAGCCGAAGAGUAUGAUCGGAUGAUCCAAGAUUGCUUCUGCCCAAUUGAAUCAAAUGACUUUGGUCUUUUUUCGUAGUCUAGACUAACUCCUACUCGAAUUUUGAAUAAAUAAUUGAGAUUUCCUUCUACAUCGUGCGAUCUAGAUU